UACGUAGGGGGCUAGCGUUGUCCGGAAUCAUUGGGCGUAAAGAGCGUGUAGGCGGCCACACAGGUCUGCUGUGAAAACUCGAGGCUCAACCUCGAGCUGUCGGUGGAAACCGUGUGGCUAGAGUCCGGAAGAGGAGAGUGGAAUUCCCGGUGUAGCGGUGAAAUGCGCAGAUAUCGGGAAGAACACCCGUGGCGAAGGCGGCUCUCUGGGCCAGUACUGACGCUGAGGAGCGAAAGCUAGGGGAGCAAACGGG
rnacentral:rRNA from 1 species